GCCGAAAGGCUGAACCAGUAACUUGGAAGAAUGAAAGUGUAUUAUAAUAAUACAAUAACGAUUAAGUCGUAUAAAAUUCUAAAUAGAAUAAUGAUAAUGACAAUUUUCUAUUUAUAAGUCUUGACCAAACUACGUGCCAGCAGUCGCGGUAAUACGUAGAAGACUAGUGUUAAUCAUCUUUAUUAGGUUUAAAGGGUACCUAGACGGUAAAUUAAACUCUAAAUGAGUACUUGUUUACUAGAGUUUUAUGAAAGGAGGAAGAAUUUCUGGAGUAGUGAUUUAAUAUGAAUAAUCUCAGAGAGACUGGUAACGGCGAAGGCAUCCUUCUAUGUAAAAACUGACGUUGAGGGACGAAGGCUUGGGUAACGAGAAGGAUUAGAUACCCUAGUAGUCCAAGCAGACAAUGAUGAAUGUCAUAGACUAGAUAUAAAUUUAGUCUAUAAAUGAAAGUGUAAGCAUUCCACCUCAAGAGUAAUAUGGCAACAUAUAAACUGAAAUCAUUAGACCGUUUCUGAGACCAGUAGUGAAGUAU
rnacentral:rRNA from 1 species